rnacentral:rRNA from 1 species
UAGAUACCCUGGUAGUCCGCACUGUAAACGAUGGAUGCCCGCCGUUGGCGCCCUGCGCCUGCGGCCAAGCGAAAGCAUUAAGCAUCCCACCUGGGGAGUACGCCGGCAACGGUGAAACUCAAAGGAAUUGACGGGGGCCCGCACAAGCGGAGGAACAUGUGGUUUAAUUCGAUGAUACGCGAGGAACCUUACCCGGGCUUGAAUUGCAGUCGCUGCCCACAGAGACGUGGGCUUCCCUUCGGGGCGUCUG